GAUGAACGCUGGCGGCGUGCCUAAUACAUGCAAGUCGAGCGAACGGACGAGAAGCUUGCUUCUCUGAUGUUAGCGGCGGACGGGUGAGUAACACGUGGAUAACCUACCUAUAAGACUGGGAUAACUUCGGGAAACCGGAGCUAAUACCGGAUAAUAUUUUGAACCGCAUGGUUCAAAAGUGAAAGACGGUCUUGCUGUCACUUAUAGAUGGAUCCGCGCUGCAUUAGCUAGUUGGUAAGGUAACGGCUUACCAAGGCAACGAUGCAUAGCCGACCUGAGAGGGUGAUCGGCCACACUGGAACUGAGACACGGUCCAGACUCCUACGGGAGGCAGCAGUAGGGAAUCUUCCGCAAUGGGCGAAAGCCUGACGGAGCAACGCCGCGUGAGUGAUGAAGGUCUUCGGAUCGUAAAACUCUGUUAUUAGGGAAGAACAUAUGUGUAAGUAACUGUGCACAUCUUGACGGUACCUAAUCAGAAAGCCACGGCUAACUACGUGCCAGCAGCCGCGGUAAUACGUAGGUGGCAAGCGUUAUCCGGAAUUAUUGGGCGUAAAGCGCGCGUAGGCGGUUUUUUAGUCUGAUGUGAAAGCCCACGGCUCAACCGUGGAGGGUCAUUGGAAACUGGAAAACUUGAGUGCAGAAGAGGAAAGUGGAAUUCCAUGUGUAGCGGUGAAAUGCGCAGAGAUAUGGAGGAACACCAGUGGCGAAGGCGACUUUCUGGUCUGUAACUGACGCUGAUGUGCGAAAGCGUGGGGAUCAAACAGGAUUAGAUACCCUGGUAGUCCACGCCGUAAACGAUGAGUGCUAAGUGUUAGGGGGUUUCCGCCCCUUAGUGCUGCAGCUAACGCAUUAAGCACUCCGCCUGGGGAGUACGACCGCAAGGUUGAAACUCAAAGGAAUUGACGGGGACCCGCACAAGCGGUGGAGCAUGUGGUUUAAUUCGAAGCAACGCGAAGAACCUUACCAAAUCUUGACAUCCUUUGACAACUCUAGAGAUAGAGCCUUCCUCUUCGGGGGACAAAGUGACAGGUGGUGCAUGGUUGUCGUCAGCUCGUGUCGUGAGAUGUUGGGUUAAGUCCCGCAACGAGCGCAACCCUUAAGCUUAGUUGCCAUCAUUAAGUUGGGCACUCUAAGUUGACUGCCGGUGACAAACCGGAGGAAGGUGGGGAUGACGUCAAAUCAUCAUGCCCCUUAUGAUUUGGGCUACACACGUGCUACAAUGGACAAUACAAAGGGCAGCGAAACCGCGAGGUCAAGCAAAUCCCAUAAAGUUGUUCUCAGUUCGGAUUGUAGUCUGCAACUCGACUACAUGAAGCUGGAAUCGCUAGUAAUCGUAGAUCAGCAUGCUACGGUGAAUACGUUCCCGGGUCU
rnacentral:rRNA from 1 species